AUGGUGUUCAAAGGCAGUUUGACUGCCAUCAAAGUUUAUAAUCAUUGAUUCCCAUGGGCUGGGGUGAAUUCUUUGGGAACUAAGUAUGUAGCUAUUGGGCGAACUCAUUCUAGGCAGCCUAGAGAGUCCCUCUGGUCUGACUUAAAGAAUCAUCUCGGAGAAAACUUCUGCAAAAUGUUCUGAUGCUAAAACAAUUUAAGUACCUUACAGCUCCAGAUGAGGCUGUAAAUUCACAGAAUCCUUCAAACUAUCAGGUCUUUCUGUUCACCUUGCUCAAAUAUUUCCAUUCUGAUUUCCGUGCUCAUGUGAUUUCCUGUUCUCACAUCUGCAUUUUGUUGCAGUUACACCUUAUAUUAAUAUAGACACAGUUGGCCCAGUCAGAAGAAGACUCUAUUGCCACAAAUGAGCUUCCUUUUGGUUUUUGCCCUCUUGUUCUUAUCAGCUGCUGCUAUUGUUCAGCUGCCAGAUGUGAUCAUUAUGGAAGGGAAUGCAACCACACUGACUUGUUCUCAGGUUCAAACCAAGCAUACAUUUAUGUCCUGGUACAAGCAAGAGAAGAGGAGGGAAGCCCAUUCCCAGUUCCAGCUGGUGACUUUUACAUCUGAAGGUUCUCCAGGGCAAUCUGUCAUUGAGGAAGCCUUUAAAAAACGCUUCAAGACAUCAGGGAUGAAGUCACAUGCCUUGCCUCUGUCUCUGGAGAAUGCCCAGCUGGAAGACACAGGCAUCUACUACUGUGCUUCACAAGAGCACACAGCCAAGCAAAUGCUGCAGAAGCCAAGCCAAAACCUCUUCACAGGAUGACCCCUCCCCCCCCCACAGAUGCUUCCCAAUAACUGACACAGGGUGGAAGCCAUGAGCUAUUCAUUAUAUUAUAGAAACAGUACUCACUAAGAUGAGCUAGAGCCGGCUUAUGAUUGCACUGGUGGGUCAGAAUUGCAUAUUGUCUAGGAGUAGAGUCUGUUCAGUGGUGAUACCCAAUUAUACAUCUUUCCUUUUAAUUAACAGCUGCACUGCGUGAUUCUGCAACCAGGCAUUUUCAGAGGUAUAACCACUUAGAGACAGAUUG